rnacentral:rRNA from 1 species
GAUUAGGUAGGUGGUGAGGUAAUGGCUCACCAAGCCGACGAUCUAUAGCUGGUCUGAGAGGAUGAUCAGCCAGACUGGGACUGAGACACGGCCCAGACUCCUACGGGAGGCAGCAGCGAGGAAUCUUCCACAAUGGGCGGAAGCCUGAUGGAGCAACGCCGCGUGAAGGAUGAAGGCCCUAGGGUUGUAAACUUCUUUUAUAAGUGAAGUAUAUGACGGUAACUUAUGAAUAAGCACCGGCUAACUACGUGCCAGCAGCCGCGGUCAUACGUAGGGUGCAAGCAUUAUCCGGAGUGACUGGGCGUAAAGAGUUGCGUAGGUGGUUUGUUAAGUAGGUAGUGAAAUCUGGCGGCUCAACCGUACAGGCUAUUACCUAAACUGGCAGACUCGAGAAUGGUAGAGGUAACUGGAAUUUCUUGUGUAGGAGUGAAAUCCGUAGAUAUAAGAAGGAACACCAAUGGCGUAGGCAGGUUACUGGACCAUUUCUGACACUGAGGCACGAAAGCGUGGGGAGCGAACGGGAUUAGAUAC